GUGUCCUAAUCACUUGAGAUUGAAUGCGACAGCUCACAAUAAGUCUAAUGUAGCGGUAGAGCACAUUGACUGUGACCUACAAGAACACCAGAAGGACGAGGAGAUUGUUGAGAUGAUAUACUACCAUCCGAGAGAGUUUCUACGCGCUAUGAGGCGUCUGCUCACCAACGGUCUGUACGUCUGCGUCGUGCUGGUCGUCUGCUUCCA